AAUUAUUGAACGCCUUAGAGAAUUGACACGAUUGCGCUUGUUGGAUAUCAGCUGUAAUAGGAUAUCUAGAAUUGGCCAUGGUAUGUGUUUUAGCUUCUCAUAUGAUCUUUUUAUGUGUUUCUCCUUGGUUGUGGCCACAUGAUAGGUUCUUACUUUGUUCCUAUCCCCUUUCCCCCAUUUUUCAUCUUCUGAUAUGGCAAGUUCACUAUGCUUUGGAUUCUUAACUAUCUCAAGUCAUAUGAGAAACCUCAUUCAUGGAUACUUCCUGAUAAUUAUAUAUGAUUAUAUCCAAUUGAAAGAAGAUUUCUUCUUGCAUUGACUUGUGUUUUGGAUCAUCUAUUAGGAUUGGCCUCAUGUUCCUCUUUGAAGGAGUUAUAUCUAGUCGGUAACAAGAUCAGUGAGGUAUAUGGUCUUCACCGGCUUCUGAAGCUCAAGGUUUUGGACUUGUGCCACAUUCAGUUCUUCUAUAGCCACUAUACUUGGGGUUGGUGAGGCGGGUGGAAGGUUUCAGUUCUUCUAUACUAUAUAUACUUAGAGUUGUUUAGUUAAUUUAUUAUUGAUGGAGAUGGAACUGACCUAUAGGAGGCUGCACUGCUAGAGCAGUAGAGCCAGAAAACAAUAGUUGGUGGGGACAUUUAUGUUAUGCUAUCUAAUUAUUAAUCUGUGGAAAAG
rnacentral:lncRNA from 1 species